rnacentral:lncRNA from 1 species
ACGGGAAUGACGACCCACCCCAGUAGCCUGGCCUGGAGAAUCCCAUGGACUAUCCAUGGGGUCUCAAAGAGUUGGGCAUGACGGAGCAACUUCCACUUCCUUAGGAAAUAAUGAUAUUAAAUAAAAGUUUUAUAACUCUAUGUCUAUUAGGUUGCCAUUGCCUUCUCCAACUGAUUAUGAGAGACAUAAAAUUACACGUAAUUUUGUGUUGGACUAUUAAUGUGAGAACCUACCACACGGCAUACACUGAGAUAGGGAUAAACUGGUGAAUAAGACAUGUUCUAUAAUUUAGCAAGAGGACGAGACAGUUACCCACUUUGGUUUGGCUCCUGUCCGCCUUUCUAGCCUCACAUACUGCCACUCCCCAGCUUGCAACGUGACCUGUGGUCAUGCUCAACGCCUCCUAAUCGUCUUGCACAUGCUAGUCCCUCUUCCUGAAACACUGUGCUUCUUCUCUGCCUGUUGAACUUAUACCUCAACCUCCAAUAUCUCAACUUUCCCAGGCAAAGUUAAGUGCAAGCAUGUGUUUUCUCCAUUUCACUCACGUGGAACCAACUUUGAUCCUCUUAGAGCUGGUGACCUCUUUUCCCUAGGAAACUGAACUACUAUAAAAACUAUAAGAACUUCCUAUAAGAACUAGGAAGGCAAAAGACGUGUUCAUUUUUAUUUCUCUAGUUGUGCCUGUGACAUAGACAGUGCUUAAAAUGCACAUUUAUUAAAUGAGCAAACAAAAGUGCUAUGAACAGAUGCUAUGAUGAGAUAAUUUCCUCAUAAUCUCUCCAUUAGUUCUUCUGCCCUCUCUUUCUAACCAUGCUACUAAAAAGCAUCUGUCCAAUCUCCAUAGCAAACCAGAGAGGCUUUUUUGACUUGCUGAUGGUGAGGGAGAGUUAGGCUUUGUCAAACAAGGGAAGGGAAAAGAAUUUUGGAGGAAAAUUUAGGUUUCCCUAAUAUUACCCCAUGACAUCCUGGGGGAUGAUCUUCACUUUAGCAACACACAGCUGAGACUGAGUAAUCUUUGCUCUUCCAUCCCUUUCUUAGACUAGCCAAGUAGGCAAAGUGGUUGUGUUUGUCAUUUGGCUAGCAGUUAACAAC